AGUAGGAAUAUGGGCCAAGGGGUGAGAUCUUGAUCCAGCCAUGCGGGGGGCAGAAAGAGGGCCUUUGGGUUGUAAACUGUUUUUGCCAGGAGAUAAAAAGUCCCUGCGGGGAAAAUUGAAGGUACCUGGUGAAUAAGCCCCGGCUAACUACGUGCCAGCAGCCGCGGUAAUACGUAGGUGGCAAGCGUUGUCCGGAUUUAUUGGGUUUAAAGGGUGCGUAGGUUGUGUUGUAAGUCAGUGGUGAAAUCCGGCAGCUUAACUGUCGAUGUGCCAUUGAUACUGCAGCACUUGAGUACAGACGAGGUAGGCGGAAUUGACGGUGUAGCGGUGAAAUGCUUAGAUAUCGUCAAGAACACCGAUAGCGAAGGCAGCUUACUAGACUGUAACUGACACUGAUGCACGAAAGUGUGGGGAUCAAACAGGAUUAGAUACCCUGGUAGUCCACACUGUAAACGAUGAUUACUCGAUGUUGGCGAUACACAGCCAGCGUCUUAGCGAAAGCGAUAAGUAAUCCACCU
rnacentral:rRNA from 1 species